rnacentral:rRNA from 1 species
GACGAACGCUGGCGGCGUGCUUAACACAUGCCAGUCGAACGGAAAGGCCCUGCUUUUGUGGGGUGCUCGAGUGGCCAACGGGUGAGUAACACGUGAGUAGCCUGCCCUUGACUUUGGGAUAACUUCAGGAAACUGGGGCUAAUACCGGAUAGGAGCUCCUGCUGCAUGGUGGGGGUUGGAAAGUUUCGGCGGUUGGGGAUGGACUCGCGGCUUAUCAGCUUGUUGGUGGGGUAGUGGCUUACCAAGGCUUUGACGGGUAGCCGGCCUGAGAGGGUGACCGGCCACAUUGGGACUGAGAUACGGCCCAGACUCCUACGGGAGGCAGCAGUGGGGAAUAUUGCACAAUGGGCGGAAGCCUGAUGCAGCAACGCCGCGUGCGGGAUGACGGCCUUCGGGUUGUAAACCGCUUUCGCCUGUGACGAAGCGUGAGUGACGGUAAUGGGUAAAGAAGCACCGGCUAACUACGUG